GACCGCGUCAUCCGGGGAGUAGCCGGCCGCCCAUCGGGCGGGGAUCGCGUCAACAUGCUUGGGGGAGACCUCAUGGCGCGGUCGAGCUUUCGAGCUUGGCAAGACCGAUGACACCCGACCUCCGCCUGCCGGGCGGGGGGUCUGGUGUCGUCUGUCCAUAGUCCGCCCGG
rnacentral:sRNA from 2 species